UGGGUAGCAACUUAAUUAAAAAUUCCUUAAGCAACUUGUAUAUUUUUCAUCCAAAAUAUGCACAAUAUUAAACUACCCAUAAAUCUUAAAAUAUAACAUUAACUUACCAUUGGGCCUUUUUCAUUUCUUUAUGACCUUUGGGCUCUCUCCAUGGGCUUCUCCAUUUUUCCUAUUUGGGCUAAGCCAUUUAUUUUUAUUUCCUACUGGGCCAUGCCCACUUAUUUUCUAUUGGGCCAUGCCCACUUAUUUUCUAUUAGGCCAUGCCCAUUUAUUUUCUAUUUCUUUU
rnacentral:lncRNA from 1 species